rnacentral:rRNA from 1 species
AGAGUUUGAUCAUGGCUCAGGAUGAACGUUGGCGGCGUGCCUAAUACAUGCAAAGUCGAACGAGGAAUCUGUAUUCGUACGGGUUUCCUAGUGGCGAACGGGUGAGUAACGCGUUGGUGACCUGCCCCGAAGAGAGGGAUAACAGUCCGAAAGGGCUGCUAAUACCUCAUGUGGUCAUAAGGGUUAAAGGCCUUAUGACUAAAUGGAGUAAUCCGCUUCGGAGGGGCCUGCGUCCCAUCAGCUAGUUGGUAGGGUAAUGGCCUACCAAGGCGACGACGGGUAGGGGGCCUGAGAGGGUGGCCCCCCACACUGGAACUGAAACACGGUCCAGACACCUACGGGUGGCAGCAGUAGGGAAUAUUGCCCAAUGGACGAAAGUCUGAGGCAGCAACGCCGCGUGUGCGAUGRAGGCCUUUCGGGUUGUAAAGCACUUUUUACGAGGGGGAAGAGAAAGGACGGUACCUCGUGAAUAAGGAAUCGGCUAACUACGUGCCAGCCGCCGCGGUAAUA